rnacentral:rRNA from 1 species
UACGGAGGAUGCAAGCGUUAUCCGGAAUCACUGGGCGUAAAGCGUCUGUAGGUGGUUUAAAAAGUCCACUGUUAAAAAUUGAAGCUUAACUUCAAAGAUGCCGUGGAAACUUUUAAACUUGAGGAUGAUAGGGGUAGAGGGAAUUUCCAGUGGAGCGGUGAAAUGCGUAGAUAUUGGAAAGACCACCAAUGGCGAAGGCACUCUACUGGGCCAUUACUGACACUGAGAGACGAAAGCUAGGGGAGCGAAUGGG